ACCGUUCCUUGGGAUUGGCUUAGGAUCUUUCCUGCAUAGCUUAGGUGGAAGGCAAAGAAGGGCUCCAUUUGGGAGGUCUCGAGUCAUUGGUGAGAUUCUACUUUAGAAGAGUUAAAAUUCUAAUCUUGUGCUAGGACCUACAGGCUAAAAGAUAGUUUUAGAUGAACAAUUUUUAUGGGGCGUAGGCCUCCCAGAAGGCAACAGAGGUGUGCAAAGAUUUCCUCGUGCCUGACAAAGAUUAGUUCUUGAGUGCAAAGACAGAAUGGAAUUUGAUUGCAAGACCCACUUAUCGAGUAGGGAAAAAGUUUGCCUUAGUGAUUUUCCCUUAGAGAUAACAGACUGAUC
rnacentral:ncRNA from 1 species